rnacentral:rRNA from 1 species
ACUCCUACGGGAGGCAGCAGUGGGGAAUAUUGCACAAUGGGCGCAAGCCUGAUGCAGCCAUGCCGCGUGUGUGAAGAAGGCCUUCGGGUUGUAAAGCACUUUCAGUCGUGAGGAAGGUAGUGUAGUUAAUAGCUGCAUUAUUUGUACGUUAGCGACAGAAGAAGCACCGGCUAACUCCGUGCCAGCAGCCGCGGUAAUACGGAGGGUGCGAGCGUUAAUCGGAAUUACUGGGCGUAAAGCGCAUGCAGGUGGUUUGUUAAGUCAGAUGUGAAAGCCCGGGGCUCAACCUCGGAAUAGCAUUUGAAACUGGCAGACUAGAGUACUGUAGAGGGGGUUA